rnacentral:rRNA from 1 species
GCAACUCGACUCCAUGAAGCUGGAUUCGCUAGUAAUCGCGCAUCAGCCAUGGCGCGGUGAAUACGUUCCCGGGCCUUGUACACACCGCCCGUCAAGCCAUGGAAGCCGGGGGGUGCCUGAAGUGCGUGACCGCAAGGAGCGCCCUAAGGUAAAACCGGUGACUGGGGCUAAGUCGUAACAAGGUACC